rnacentral:rRNA from 1 species
GACGUAGGGCGCGAGCGUUGUCCGGAUUUAUUGGGCGUAAAGAGCUCGUAGGCGGCUUGUCGCGUCGUCCGUGAAAACCUGGGGCUCAACCCCAGGCUUGCGGUCGAUACGGGCAGGCUCGAGUUCGGUAGGGGAGACUGGAAUUCCAGGUGUAGCGGUGAAAUGCGUAGAUAUCUGGAGGAAUACCGGUGGCGAAGGCGGCAUCCUGGACCGGCAUUGACGCUGAGGAGCGAAAGCCAGGGGAGCAAACGGG